GACGAACGCUGGCGGCGUGCUUCAUACAUGCAAGUCGAACGAGGUCCAACUGGUAGCAAUACCGGUGAAGACCUAGUGGCGAACGGGUGAGUAACACGUGAGGAACCUGCCCCGAAGACCGGGAUAACAGUGGGAAACCGCUGCUAAUACCGGAUACCCCCACCGGAUCGCAUGGUCUGGUGAGGAAAUGGAUUCCGCUUCGGGAGGCCUCGCGGCCUAUCAGCUUGUUGGUGGGGUAAGGCCUACCAAGGCGACGACGGGUAGCUGGUCUGAGAGGACGAUCAGCCACACUGGGACUGAGACACGGCCCAGACUCCUACGGGAGGCAGCAGUAGGGAAUCUUGCGCAAUGGGCGAAAGCCUGACGCAGCAACGCCGCGUGAGGGAUGAAUGCCUUCGGGUU
rnacentral:rRNA from 1 species